ensembl:lncRNA
CUCUGGUGGCUGGGGAGAGGAGGAGGGAGAGGAGGAUCUCUGGUGGCUGGGGAAAGGAGGAGGGAGAGGAGGAACUCUGGUUGCUGGGGAGAGGAGGAGGGAGAGGAGGAACUCUGGUGGCUGGGGAGAGGAGGAGGGAGAGGAGGAACUCUGGUGGCUGGGGAGAAGAGGAGGAGGAGGAUCUCUGGUUGCUGGGGAGAGGAGGAAGAGGAGGAGGAGGAACUUUGGUGGCUGGGGAGAGGAGGAGGGAGAGGAGGAACUCUGGUGGCUGGGGAGAAGAGGAGGAGGAGGAACUCUGGUGGCUGGGGAGAGGAGGAGGAGGAGGAACUCUGGUGGUUGGGGAGAAGAGGAGGAGGAGGAACUCUGGUGGCUGGGAAGAGGAGGAGGAGGAACUCUGGUGGUUGGGGAGAAGAAGAAAUAGAAAGAGUUUGGGGAAUGGAGGAAAGGAGAGAAAGAGGCAGAGGAGAUACUGGGACACGGCAUGCAGAAGGACACAAAGAAUCACAUCUGUCUCCACACUGUCCUCCUUCCCUCUGUGGGAGACCGAGGAGAGAGGGGGGGACAGGAAUGUGGUAAACAACUCUACUUUGUUGAUGUUUACCGGAUGUUUCUGUCACGAGUGUCAGACUGACAAGAACCACACCAAGGAGUCUGAGACGAAAGACCUGGUGGCCUUCACCAACCGACCUGAGACAGCCUGUUAGAGGUCUGUGCUGUAUCAGAAGUCUGGGCCCAUAUUCAUAAAGACUCUCAGUAGGAGUGGUCAUCUGGGAUCAGGUCCUAAAGAGUCUCAGUAGGAGUGGUGAUCUAGGAUCAGGUCAUAGUCUCAGUAGGAGUGGUGAUCUAGGAUCAGGUCAUAAAGAGAUUCAGUAGGAGUAUUGAUCUAGGAUCAGGUCAUAAAGAGUGAGAGUAGGAGUGGUGAUCAUAAUGAAUAACAUUACAUGGACCUGGGGGACCUGAUCCUAGAUCAUAAUGACCUGGGAGACCUGAUCCUAGAUCAUAAUGACCUGGGGGACCUGAUCCUAGAUCAGCUCUCCUACUGUGAAUACCAGAACCAGGUCUUACCUGUCAGAGGUCAGAGGUCUUCAUCCUCUCGGAUGUUGUGGUUUCUUCCUACUGUAGCUUUUCCCAACUUCAACUGUUUCAAUAAAUGCCGGACAACAAAAUGUAAAAUGUGUUUCACUGAAUAGCAGUUUUUUUUUAAGUGUCAUGCAAAGCAUUUUCAGGAAAGUUAUUUGUUGUUUUGCAUGGUCAAGCCCAAAUUAUGUUUUCGUUUCUGUCUUUGGGAUGUCAUGUAAAUAUUAUAAAACUAAAAUCUGCUUGGAUUUUGCGUAAAGUUAAAGUAUAUGUUGUUUGAUAAAUAAAUAAUGUUGGUAUAAUGA